UAAUAAUAUGUAGAAUUAUAAAUUUUUUACACCUUAAAUUAGGUGCUACUCUUAUUUUGAAAUAGAAGCCAUAUCUAUAUAUCCAUUAUAUCUAUGGUAGGAGAACAGUUUUUCCUAUCCUAAGCAAAUUUGUUCAGGAUGUACAAACCUAUUUCCGAACCAACCUUCCUUCUCCAAAGUAAGAAUUAUGCCCUGCUUCCCUUCUUAACCCCUCUUCCACACAACCUAAAAGAGUGUAUUUAAUGAUUAUUUAAAAUUCAUUAAAUCUAAUAAUAUUCAAAUAAUGAUAAAUCUUUUUGAUUUCAUAAAAUAAUGAAUUUUGUAGAAUUAUUCUAUGUUAAUUAAGAUAUUUGAAAUCUCAUCAAAAUCCAUGAUUUUCUUUUUGACGAAAAUCCAUGAUUUUAAUAAUUACAUAUUUUAAAUCACAUUAAGUUUUGGAUGACCCCAGUGACCACUCCCCUGGAUGGAUAUAUCAUCGGUAAUGCAAAUUUCAAGACAUUUCUUUUUGUUGCUUUCCCUUCAAUUUGUGGUUUUUAUACUAGGAAAAUCAUAUUCAUUGUUUUGAAUUCUCAGAUCAUACUCCCUUAAUUGCCUGAAAAUUGACUUGAAGACGAUCAAAUUCUGCUUAGCUGUGAUAAUGCACAACAUAAUCUGUUCAGUACAUUACCAUUUACUAGAAGUUUGGAAGAUAUGUUCUCUUGGGGAAACCAGGAGCUAAAGCCAUAGUACUCUAAUGAAAUCGGAAAUUAGUUCUUGCAUUUUCAAAUGCGGUAAUAGGCUUACUAGGCAAAGUUCUGUUGGUUCAACUGAGUGUUAAUGUGCUCAAAGUUUGAAUUUUUCACUUGCGAUUAUUGCUCAUUCUAUAUUGCUCUAAUUUUUUCUUGCACUUGGGACUUCUUUGUUGUCAAAUCAUUUUGUUGAUUCUCUUUCUUCCUUUACUUGUCUUAUUGGCAAAUGUGUGCUCCUGCAAACAAUGUUAUCAGCAGUAUUUGAGUGUGUGACUUCAUUUAGCAAUCAAUAUUUUUAAUCUCUUAUUUGCUUUGUAUAUUGAUUCAGCUUAAUGGAUUUAUUAUUUUGUUCUUGAAUACUUGGUUAAGAUGAUGUUAUGAACAGGUUUUUUUUUUUGCCAUUGCUAGUCACUUUUCACAUUAUUAUCUCACUGGAUCAAUUAUUCAUAUUGAUGACAAUUUCUUUCCUAACUGUAGCCUGGUUGCUGCAAGCCUUCUGAUUCAUGCAACUUUAAACAGUGACUUGUAAUCUCUAUCUCGUGGAGGGUAAGGCUUCUAUUAGUUAAGUCUAAAGAUAAUCAUCAGGACAUGACUUGUAAUCUCUAUCUUGUGUAUGACUGCUUUGUAGAUAAGAAAAUCAAUAGAAAUAAGUCAUAUAGUGGACAAAAAGGCUUUAGAUUAGAGAAUUAUGAUAACUUGAUAAUCUAAUGCUUGCUAUACGUCUACUGAAUCGACUUUCGUGGCUUUAUCCAACAAUAGGGGUUCUUCCAGGUCAUUCUUGCACCUUGUUUUGUCUACUGAAUCAUCUAUUCUAACUGAGACGAUCUUGCAGUCAACAUUUUGUGUGCUCUGAUGUUUCUCAGUGUUCAUUCCUGUGAUGUCUUUGGCUUUCCCCCACAGCACAGUGUAUAGUCCUAGUAUCACCGUUACAGCUCCUAUAACACUGUGAAAUAUAACAUCAUCGUUAGAGGAUUGGUAUUGCCAUACCAAAAUAGAUUUGUGUGGCCGAACUUUUAUAAGCUGUCACCAAUUUACCUUCCUGUGUAGAUCUCUUCGUGCAAGAAUAUAGAGGCCAGGAUGGUAACGAUGACUGUGUUCAAAGGGUUGAACAUAGCAGAAAAGAGGGGACCCCUCUUUGAGAUGACCCAGGCUUGAGCAUAGAAGGAUAUCCCAGAGCCGACAAUACCCUGUUAAUGUAUAAGAUAACUUGAGAUUGUGAAAACUAGAAUGAACCAAGAUGUAGUAUUGAGUACUAACUUGGAAGCAGAGUAUAUAAAAUGGUGACAAGGAAAAGGAGUUACCGAAAAGAAACAACAGGCGAGCUGCAGAUAUGAGUCCAUCUUCCAAGUUUCCAGAUCCCUUUCUACAAACAAUGCUACUAUUGCUGAUUGUAAUGUUGCCAUGAAACACAUCCAAGCUGACAAAGAUAGAUGAUCCGGAUAACUCGCUGAAACCGGUACCUGUCUCAGACAUAUUCAACAAGAUAAGUUAAUUUCUUUUGGUACCCAUUUCUAAAUUGACAACACACUUGAAUAGUAUAUAUAAGCUGUGGGAUGAUUUCCUACCUGCAAAAUCAGCCAGAAUGACCAGCAACAACUGCUAGCAAAAAGCAGGAAACAGCCUAUGAGCCAGUAGUUGUCAACUGCAGAGCCUAAAACCGAUUUGUUUGGUAGUAGUUCUGCGUUGAGUAGUUUUGGUCCUUUGAGCAAUGCCAUUGCAAUAGCUCCAGCAACACACAAGACCGUCCCGACUAUCUUGGCAAUGCUUCUCAAGCUUCGAAUUUUUAUUUUCUCCAGUCUGUUCGUAUGCAAAAAAUGAUGCCAUAUUCAAAUAAUUGAUCAUAACCAUUCUAAAAUCUGAUGGAUGUUCAAAAUAAAUUGUUAAACAAUUAUUAUACCCGACAAUGAGGGUGAUCACGAAGGUGACAGCAGGGAGCAGAUUCGACAUUGCACUUGCCAUGGAGGAUGAGGCGAGGUAUAAUCCCUCAAAGUACACGUUCUGGUUAAGAGUAACCCUGUGAUCAAUAACAAACACAAAGCAUCAUCACACAAACUGUAGUCUGUAUAUUAUAGUUCUGUCUCUGCCUAAUUGUACAUAAUCAGCCUUAAAAAUUUGUGAGGUUACCCUAUGAGAGAGGCCAAAAAUAUCAAAGAGAAACUCCUCAAUCCCAAACCGCUUUUGCUUGUUUUGCUCCUACACCACAAAUUUAUCGACAAUGUUACUAAAAUAUGAGGACUUAAGGAUGCUUAAGACAAAGAGAUUCACAGAUUUUAAAGGUACCUUGUGAAGAAAGCAAGAGGAGUAAUGACUAGUGUGGCUAUGGCCUGUCGAUAGACCACGAACACCCUGGGGCUCAUUCCUUCCAGAAGAGCAGCUCUAGUAGACAGAGCUACUGCUGCAUAACUGAACUGAAGCAAUAUCAUCACCACUACAGGCUUCAAACUCUCGUAAUCUCCCAUCUCUUGAGUGAUUUUAGUUUUACAACAAUGUUAUUGUUUCAACCUACAAGUACAUUAUUACAUAUGUACAGAAGCUCCUUAUAUACAUGGAAGGCUUAUAUGUGAAUACAUAAAGAGUAUCUUUGCAUCACACCAUGAAGCUUCUGUUCCAUGUGACGACAAGCUUCUGCAAUAGUUUAUGCGAGUGUGGGCGAUCGUGACUAGCCAGUGAAGUACUGAAUGUGGUCCAUAAGUUAAUUCUUAAUCAAUCAUCAACAACAUGUCAGUAAUAAAUCAUAGUACAUGACAACUAUAACAUUCUGGAAUAUUAACGGGAUAUACUUAAAAGUGAAGAGUAUAAUUUUAUGUCCGAAUAGAAUGAAAUGUAACUUGAGGAUUGUUAACUUCAAAACAAUAGAAGAUCCUAUUCAACACAUCUUGGAAUUUUAGACGAUAUUAGAGCUCGGUUCAGGAAGAGUCUCAUGUUCAAAUAUACGGUGAUCGGUCUUGUAUUCGAAUAUAUGGUAUGUAAUCCUCCAAUUUAUAGCGAAAUUUUUUCUAAAUAUACUGAUCCUCCUGUAAUUUAUAUUAAAUUUCAUUCUAAAUAUAUUGAUACUCAACAUGAUAUCAAAAGACAAGUUUGAUGGAAGUGUUAAAUUCGACUCUAUGGCAUCCCAACAUCAUGGACACGAAGGUCUUAAUUAUCUCGAAAACAGGCGCGAACCGGUUCUCAACCCUGAAUCCGACAUAAAAGAGUUUUUGUUUGUAAUAAUUUUGAGUGAGUUGCAUGUGAAGCACUAGGUGUCACUGAAGACUAAUCAUUAAUUCAUUACAUAAAACACUGGGACAACUAGUCAGUGACGGAACUACAACAAUGCAUGAAUUUAAAAAGGGUGGGAUCUUGUACCUUCGAGGGCUUCGACGAUAUGAUAAUAGAGGUGCUUGUUGGUAUAAACUUGAGCUGUCAUGCUAACAUGACGAAAAGAUUGUUUCAUCUACGUGGUGUCGAUGGGGAUGGAAAUUGGCGAGUCACACUAGUUUGGUUUUAUCUGGGCUUAUUUGAUUCUGAUUUUGACGCGGCUACACGCCUUUAGUUUUACCUAUAACUUGUGUAUUAUUCAAUACAUUCGUGAAAGCUGUAUGUUUGUAGUUUUCAGCUAAGCAGAGAAGUUGAGUUACGCCGCCUCCUCUCUCUCUCAAAUAUCAUUGUCAUUUCACUUCGGCCUUCAAUUCUCUUUUGAAAACUUGCACUUUAAUUGACGUGUAUAAUAAAUUUAUAUUUUUAAAUUGUUAUUAAUUAUAAUUUAUGUUUAGUACAGGUUUAAAUAAUAUUUUUAUAUUUAUUUUCUAUUGGAAGUAUAAUAUUUUUUCAUUGAUAUAGUUAUUUAAAUUAUUAUUGCUUAGAUAUAAACUUUUUAUAUAUUACUAUUUGAUCCAAUUCUAGAAUUUGAUUUCUUUUAAAAAAUUAUUCUCAAAUAUAUGUUAUAAUAUGAAUUCAUUUUAGAAUGAUAUGUUUUAUUUUAGUAAAAUUAUUAUGUUUGCUAAUGUUAAAUACCAACAAAUAUAGGUUGACUUGUAAGAGCAUCUCCAACCAUUGAAAACCAUUAGUUAAAAAAUGAGUUGGCAUACUAAAAAUAAUGAAAUUUGGUCAACUGCUCCAAAAACUCAACUCCAACCAUAUGCAGCUGUUGUCUAUAAUUUUAGUCAACCUCCUAUGGAUGGUUAAAUUUGUCGAACCUCUAAAGGUGUGUAAGAAAUCUGUAGGAAGAUUGCACAUCAUUUAUUACCAUAUUGAACUAAUAUAUUCUAUUUUAACAAUCGAAAAUAUUAAUAACAUACUAUUUUUAAAUUAUGGCCAACCAAUAUAACCAAUACGGUUGGAGCAAAAUGUCUUACAGGCACAACAAAUUUCACAUAAUGUCUUACAGGUUCCAUUAAGCUAACGAUUAUAACCAACGCCGUUGGAGAUGCUUUAAGGUUUUUAAAUUUUAGUAAUUUUUUAAUUAAUUAUUACUUUAAGCAUUUAAUAAGUAAGUGAUAUGUAUAACGUUUGUUAGAGUUUAGGUAUAGUACUUUAUGUGUAACUAGCCUUUAACCCCGUGCAAAGCACGGGCGGGUAUAUGAUUCGUAAUUUAUUAAUUAUAAUUUAAUUCUUAACACCAUUUUAUUAGUAUUUUAGUAUUAAUGAAUUGGAUGUUAGUUAAAUUAUAUUAACCUACUCGUUAUAUCUUCUAACCGAAAUUUAGCUUUCACAAUUUAUUAUCUCUCUAUAAAUAUUUUUCUAUAUUAAUAUGUGACAGUUUAUUAUUCAAUUUAAAUCAAAUUUUUCAUAUUUCAUAUAUCUAAUGGCUCGUGUUUGUAAUGAAAUAGAAUACGUAAGUGUUAAAUUUCGAGUAGAAUACGUUAUUAAAAAGUAGCGUCUUUAAUUAUUUAUAUGUAUUUUAGACAAAAGAUAUUCAAAAUUGUAUAUUUAUAAUUAGUUAUACGUUUAUCUAUAAUUAAUUUUUAAUAUUAAUAUAUGUUAUUAACAGUAGUUUCACUUUUUUUUUAACUAAUUAUAAAUUAUAUUUAAAAAGAUAUUAAUAUACAUAAGGAGUGUUUUUAGUAUAUGAAACUGUUUAAUAGAUAUCUACUUGUAGACUUUUAGUUUUAGAGGAGAGUACCAAACCAAAAUUUUGUACGACUACAAAUUAUACCUAUGUUGGCUUUUUAUAGUAUAGUAUAGAUAUGUGCAGUAGUGGUAGUUCUUUCGAUAGUUAUUUGAUAAGUUAAUAUAAAAGUUUAAUUGAGCUUUUAAAGUAAAUGAAAUUAUUUAAAAUUAUUAUGUUAUCAAUUUUUUUGACAAUAUUUUAUGUCUGGUCCUUUUACUUUAUAUCACAACAUAAAUAACGAUUUUAAUUGUAGUAGUAGAGCCUCAUUCUCAAUAAUGGAGUUUGUAUUUAUUAUCAUAAUAUUAUCACAUCUUUUUUUCUUUAUCGCAAUCUUGUACGAUGAUCUAUGAAUACGCCGGCACAUUAACUUGCUCAUGUGUCUCUCAUAUGUACCUUGAUCAUAUCUUUGAUAAGAUACCGGAGUUCUGUUCCAAUUAAUGUUAGAGAUUGUAUCCAGUAUGAUUUGGAGAAUUGGAGUAAUAAAAUCUGCAUUUUGUCAAAUAAAAAAAAAACCAUCUGGACCUAUAAAUCGAAAGAAUUUUUUUUAUACAAUUUGUAUGAUUUUAUUUUUAUAUGUAAUUAUAUUCGUAAUUAUUUAGAUUUUUGUUUAAUUGACUUUCAUAUUUUAUUAUAAAGAAUAAAGAAUUCCUAAAUCGGGAAAAUUUGAUUUUUUUUUAACUAAUUUCGAAUUUUGUUAACGAAAAUUCGGAGUUAUACAUGAUUUCUACAUUGUAAAAAUCAUAUCUUAAGUUUUAAAAUUUGGAUUUGGACGAUAUUACAAUCUACAUGAAAUUUAGAGAUAUUCUUUUUAAUUUAACUGUGAUCGAAAGUACAAUUGAAAAAGAUGGUUGGUUAACAGAGGUCCAAAUACAAUUGCGAAAUUUAUUGAAGAAUCGUACUAGAUUCUGAAAUUCUAUAUGUAUAUUGAUUUGAAACAAUAAAAAGCUUUUAUAUUAUUUAUCAAAAAAAAGCUUUUAUAUUAAUAUAUUAUGAAAUUAGAGAGAGAAUUACGGUUAGAUAAACAUGGAGAAACUUAUGAGCUACCAUUAUAACUUGUUCUUGCGUUACAAUUUUCUUCCCCGGUUUCUUUUUCCCUCCGUCCCACUAAGAUAUUUACGUUCACUGUUUACUCUUGUAAAAUAUACUUCAAUAACAUUUUUAAAAAAUUUACUGAAAUUUUAAAAUAUGUGUUAAAAAAUAACGUAAAGAACCUGAUGGAAGAGGGAGGGAGUACAUUACUACUAAAUGAGCUUUGUAGGGACAAUUUAAUCCACAUCCAACAUUCCCACGUAAAACAUAUGGCCGCGCAUGAGACGAUGGCUGCCUUUUUAUCGUGUUUCUCGUCCUUAAUUUAUUAAUCAUAAAUCUCGGUAGGAUUAGUUAGUAUGCAAUGUAAUGCAUCAAAUUAAAAAUGAACAAUUACUGUCAAUUAGAAACUAUCGAGAUAUAAAGGGCAAUGCUAGAGACUCCAAAAAAAAUUCCCAAAAAUCUUUACCAAAUGAUGUGACAAACAAAUGGCUAGUUAUGAUUGGGUGAUUGAUGAAUCUGCAGAGGGGUCUCAUUAUUAUGGGAGUGAAUUCAGCCAAUCAGAUUUAGACACAUCAUUUGGGAAAAUUAUUUGGGACAAUUUUUUGGGGUCUCUAGCAUUUUCCAGAUAUAAAUUCAUAUGUUCAGUAGGAUAAUAGACCGGUCAGCUAAGUUUAAAACAAGUUAUCUACUCCCUUCAUCCCUAUCAGUUGUCACAUUUAAACAAGUAUUGUUUAAAUUAAAAAAAUAGAUUAUAAAUGGUAAGUUGGUUAAAAUUCAUAAAUAGAAGUAGUUUGAUAAGUUUGAUAAUGAAAAAAGGUAGAGUGUAAUUAAAGAAGAGGAUAUAACAAGAUAGGAGUAGUUAAGAAAAAUAGCUUUCCCAUCUUUUUAAUUUUCAUCCUGAAUUUUUAGAAAUACUUCUCUUUUUCUACACAAACCAACCAAGAGAAGCUGAAACUCAUUUUUUUUUUAUAUUAUAAGAUGUCAUUGCUUUUUCGCCGGACAGGGACUAUAAUACAGUGCACAAUGCUACUUGUAUUUACAACUUGCACUCUAUGAGGUAGUCACUACAUAUUUUAAAAUGAGGAAUGUUCCAAAUAAUUUUUGACAUUCAAUAAAAUAUAUAUGAUAAAAUAUCACGGAAAGGAAAAAAAUUUCAAGAGUGAUGCCAAAUGGCGGCUGGACUUCGCAUAAAAUACUGGGGUUAAUCCCUUUUCCUUAUAAAUGUAAAUAAAUAGGUUAGGAUGCACACUCAGAGUACCUCCAAUUGUGUUGCCUAUAAUUAUUGGCUAAAUAGGACCAGUAUGAUAUUAUGUAAAACUUGCUGAACCUGUAAGACAUUCUGCUUCAAUGGUAUUGGUUAUAUUGCUUGACUAUAAUUUAAAAAUAAUAUGUUAUUAAUAUUUUAGAUUAUUAAAAUAUAAUAUAUCAGUUUAAUAUGGUAAUAAUUGAUGUGCAAUCUUCAAACAGAUUUUUACAGAUCUGUAGAGGUUCGACGAAUUUAGCCAUCCAUAGGAGGUUAUCUAAAAUUAUAAACAGCAAUUGGGUAUGGUUGAAGUAUGAAUUUUUCGAACGAUUGGCUGAAUUUUUUAUUUUUAGUAUACCAACUCACAUUUUAGUUAAGGAUUUUCAAUAAUCGGAGAUGAAGAGUAUUUUGAUAACUACAGAUGCUUUAACUUUUAAUAAAUAGGAGUACAUAAUAAAACAAGUAUCAUGCAUUUAGGGUUUUUUAAUUCUGAUAACCACGGCACUAUGGUGGCUUUGUGUAACAUUAUUAAUUAUGAUGUUCAUGCACGUAACUAGGCCCUGUUGUAAAACAAUUACUCCCUCCGUCCCCCUCAAUUGUUUACAUUGGAGGGGGACACGGAGACCAAGACAAUGUAUGAAAAAUGAGUAAAGUUAGGUGAAAAGUGAGUAAAGUGGUGGGACCCAUCAAUAUUUAAUAAUAGAUUUGAGAUAGUGGAGGAAAGUAGUGGGUGUAAUAGUACUCCCUCCGUUUCAAUUUACAUGUCCACUUUGAAGAAAAUUUUUUGUUUCAAAUUACUUGUCCACUCCAACUUUCAAUGCAAAAUCAUAUUUCCUAAGUCAAUUCUCCUCCACAUAUCUCUUAUUUAUAUUUCCUAGAUCAAUCUCACACCACAUAUUAUGCUUAUUUAAUGCAAUUAAUGUGUGAACAACCACUUUUCUUAAACUGUGUGAUUUUUUGAAAGUGGACAUCUAAUUUGAAACGGAGGGAGUAGU
rnacentral:lncRNA from 1 species